rnacentral:lncRNA from 1 species
GGCGGGAUCACUAGGGCCACGGUGCUAGGCAGAAGGGAACCUGGGAUGACAGAGCCACUAUGGAGCGCUCCUUCCACUCCUCUCCAAAUUGUCCUUUGUUGCUCUGGAGCUGACGGUCCCUGCCCUGCAAGAAGGUGCGUUUCCUAAAACACCCGGGAAGCCAACCCAGCUACACUUAAGUAACCCAGCCACGGACAGUGCCCGACGCGUCCGUGGGCCUCUGAGGUUGGCCUUCAAAGAAAUAGAGCCGUCCAAACGUGUCAUCAGGCCCACACAAAGCUGGUGUCAAAGAGAAAGAGGUUCUCCGUGCCUUGCAAAAAAAGAUUCUCACAAAAGACUUAAGACUUGGCAGCAGGUCCGACUGUGCCCUUUCAGGAUAGGAACUGCUCAGGUGUGUGAGAGAAAGAGACUCGAGCACAAGGUGUGUCCCUUCCCCCUGUAUUUAAACCUAAAUUAAUUUCACUGGGAGGAAAUACCAUGCAGAUUUUUUUUAAGUCUGUUUCACGCUCCCAGCGGGCUAAUCGGUUCUUUCAAUCCUAAAGCAACAGAAAACUGUGAAAUUUGAAGAGAAAUUGUUAGAUCAAAGGAAAAAGCAAACAUUAAAGGAAUGAAAGUACUCUCAUUAUAUAGCAAAAAUGGAAAGUGUUCACAUUGGGGUAGUUCAACUUUUUAAAACAUGGUUAAAAGAACAUAGUCAAUUUAAAAAUUAUCAGGAGUGACACAGAACAGCAGCUAGGCCCUGGGGAUCCACAUCAACCAAGGACCUAACAUACAGUGAAUAAUGAAUGUUAAAUAAUCACAGUACGCACCCACGUCACAUUUUCUAGUUGAUUAGAACUUAAAAAAAAAAAUCCCUCCAGGAUACUAUCCCAGUGUGUCUUCUCAUUAAGGUCCAUUUUUUAAAAAUACACCUUGCUAAACUGUUAAAGGAGUGUGAGCACUCUUCAGUCACGUGGGACUGCGUCUUCCUACCCCUCAACUGUAUGGACCUUGAAACAGCCCUGGCUGGUCUAAGGAGACCCAAGCGCCCGCAUUUUCCCAGCCCCUACCACUAUCCUUCAUUUUGUGGACUGCACGAAAUGAUGCAGUUCCUAAUCUGGAGCCUUCAGGGACACGUGACCCAUCACACACUUGGCUUGUUGAUCAGAUCAGAAGGAACUUACUGUUUCCCCAGAGUUCUUCUGAUAGAAAACAGCACUUACUUGUUUGACUAGUAAUCUAUGUAGCCCCCCAGAUCUUUAGAUGGUGGACUAUCUGACUUGGCUAUGUCGCCCGGUAGAAUUUUACCAUCUGGGCUUCGAAGACAACUGGGUUCAAACUCUGGUUCUGUCACUUAGCUGCGAACUUGAGCAAAUUACUUAGACCUACUGAGCCUCAGUUUCUACACCUGCCACAAAAAUCUGAUAACACAGGAUGCUGUGAAGAUUAAAUAAGAUGCUAUGUGGAAAGCUACAGUGUACCUGGCAUGAAGUUUGUGUUCCAAAGUGAUUGUAAGUUGCUCACUUUAAGGAAGGAAUGUAUAGUUUGAAAAAUUUUUGCUUUCUUCAUUGCAUCUGGAGAUAACUAAUCAACUGUGACCUGUUCUACUAGGGGGAAAUGUCUUAUCUUCAAUCUAUGGCUUAUAUUUCUUGUCCCAAAUUGUGCAAUAGGGUAACAGGUUUCAUUAUUCAUCUCUGAAAUUUCACAAAAGGACAACAGAUUAUGUUUCUGCAGUUCGGAUACUCAUAUUUCCCUUCAUAGUGUUUUAACUGGAGAAAGUAAAGCAUGGCUCUGUGAGGCAGAUUAUUUUUAUUGUCCUAAAUUGACAGAUGAAGGGACGGGGGUAUUUGCUGUGAAGGCACCACCUGAAGGCCCUGUGCUGUACAGAAGUAGAAAAAAGCUGAGACUCAUGUUUUCCUGGAUCCUGGGGCCAGAAGAGGAAUACAAGGCCAACAAACACGCUUGCUGAACAGAGAAGUGCUGAUGGGGGAGGCCCAGUCUGUCGGUGUGAUAUGAGCUAUAACUUUGACACCCAUUAUUUUGAAUACCAAACAGAAAGCUCCAGGUUCAGAACUAAAAUCUGAAAGUUGAUUGAUCAUCUGGAUUGAUAAAGCCAUAACCAAUGCAGAAAACUCAACAUGAAUAAUCAUUCACUAUCAUCCUUCUUAGAUUCAGGAGCCUGAAGGCUGGCUGCUCCUUGCAAAAAUGUUUAGUAUCAGUAAGUUAUCAGGACAUGCUGGAAAUAAAAUGCUAACAUCCCUCUUUGGUAGGCUCAGGGACCUGUUUGUGGACCUUCUAAAGUAUUUCUCCAAAUGAAACAAUGAAAAAGUUAUCAUCUAUUUUAUUCAUUUAUGUGUUGCCUUAAUUCUAGGUAAUACCUAUUUGCCAGUGGAAAGAAUAUUGGUGCUACAGAAAUCUUAAUUGUUUGGAAAGUAGAAUUUUAAAAGACAUUUCUGCCUUUUUUCUUCAAAUAUUAAAAGACUUAUGGGAUAAACGGAGUCUUGUGGAUAAUGUGGGCUUCUUAAGAAUAAAAAUUAUCAUUUUGUUUUAA